CUACGGGAGGCAGCAGUGGGGAAUAUUGGACAAUGGGCGCAAGCCUGAUCCAGCAAUGCCGCGUGUGUGAAGAAGGCCUGCGGGUUGUAAAGCACUUUAAGCCGGAAAGAAGGGGUGGUGGUUAAUACCCGCCAUCAUUGACGUUACCGGCAGAAUAAGCACCGGCUAACUCCGUGCCAGCAGCCGCGGUAAUACGGAGGGGGCAGGCGUUACUCGGAAUUAUUGGGCGUAAAGGGCGCGUAGGCGGUCUUGUGCGUCGGAGGUGAAAUCCCCGGGCUUAACCCGGGAGCUGCCUCCGAUACGGCAGGACUUGAGUCCGGGAGAGGAGAGCAGAAUUCCCAGUGUAGCGGUGAAAUGCGUAGAUAUUGGGAGGAAUACCAGUGGCGAAGGCGGCUCUCUGGACCGGUACUGACGCUGAGGCGCGAAAGCAUGGGGAGCAAACAGGAUUAGAUACCCCUGUAGUCC
rnacentral:rRNA from 1 species